UGGAGAAGCUGAAUUUGAACAUCUGGGUAGACAGAAAAAUAAAAAGGCAAAUGAACUAGCCCAGUCGGCUUCAAGAAAAGCUAAUUAUAUUAUUCUAUUAUGUCCCGAGAGUAUAAAUUUGAAAUGAAUCGAUGUCGACGUUCACAAGAACCAAAAUCGGAACAACAUUAGACUACUCAGUUGCGCCCUAACAGUAUAACUUUGCAACGAGUACUUUUUCUCAUUCUAUCGAACAAAGAGUAAAAGCCAAUUAUAUUGUUCUAUUAUGCCCUGAGAAUAGGUUUAACUUCACUCUAGGUUCAUCACAUACAUAACCUAGGUAAAACCGCUAGGUUCUAUCCCAUCUCUGCCUAGAUGUCAACCUGUAGGUUCACUUGUUCGACCUAUGUUUACUAACACUAGGUUCGAUGCCACACACCUAGACGUAUUCGACUCUAGGUUCACUAGUUCAACCUAUGUUCUUUAAUGCUAGGUUAGGUGCCACUCGAUCUAAUUGACAUCCUAAUUGUCUAAUCGAGUAUUCUAUUGUUCUCAUGUCAGUCAACUCUACACUUCUAGAGUUAUCAUCUAGUUCACAUGCAUAUCUACCUAGCAUAUUCUCACAAUGCUAAUCAUGCAUUCUAUGAUUUCUAUAUCAUCUUAUAUGCGUCUAUUUAGCAUUUGCGUCAUAUUAUUAACAUGCAUUACUUAGCUUUAGCUACAUGCAUCAUCCACAUGCUUUAUUUACAUUUAUAUGCAUCAACAUGGAUUCUUAAUCAUCUUAGACAUAAAGGGCGACCUAGUCGCUUCGGUAAGCACAACCCACCUUAGCUAGCUUUUUGAUUGCUCGUCGACACUUGCAAUCGGCUUCCCGCGGCACUCGGCACCCGUUUGGGCCCGAUCUCGCAGUAGCACUCCAAUAGCACGUCGCUUUGCCGUUUCGAGAGCUAAAGGUCUUCGCUUUGCUGUUACGGCGCUCGGAACUCGACCUCGCGAUUUAUGGACGUCGCCUCAGCCUUCCAGGCGGAAACGAAGCUCCAAACGUCCGUUUCUUCGAUAUCUUUGUAACGGCUUGUCAGAUUGCCGAAUCGACUUCGCUAACGCGUUUCGUUACCUAUCAAUUAGGUUUACAAAGGGUCAAAUAAGAUCAAACCCUCCCAAAUCACAAAACUCCAUUUUGGAUGCCCUAGAUGCUAUUACAC
rnacentral:lncRNA from 1 species